CGCUCAUCCAGAGGGGCAGAGGGACACGGCCCGUUGAAGCCCCGGCAACCCUCCAGCCGGUCUCCUAGUGAGGCUCCCGGCGGGGAAGGUGCCAAUUCCGUCUCGUGGCGAGGUUCGCCACGGGGAAGAUGAGGA
rnacentral:ncRNA from 2 species